AGAAUUCUUAUAUUGUUGAAACUGCAACCAGCCAAACACAAACAUUACUCGGAACAUCAGUUUAAAAAAAAAAAAAUUAAAGCUACCACAUUUUAACCAAAGUAAACAAAUAAAACAACUCGGCAAAUAAUCGUAUAGGCAAGUAUGUGAUGGCCAAUUGUACAACUCUUCCUGCCUAGAUGCAGCCAUUGAAUUAGUUGAAAGUAUUCCAGUAACAACUGGCCCAAUGUUUGAUUAUACCACACAAUCUGCCUCAUCUAGGUUCAGGUUGCCGGGGAUGUAGUUAAUUUCUCAUUGGGGCCAAUAGAUUAGACAAUAAAGUAUUAGCCUGCACCCCAAAACUUUUCCUAUGAUACACGUAUACAUAUUCACUUAAGUGGGGACGGCAGAUGUAGCUAUAGCAUGAGUGAACUUGUAGUCAAUUCGAGCAGGAAGCCCAUAUUUAUUUUGAUAACUAAAAUGCACGUACACAAAUUUAUGAAUGCAAGUUUUCAAUACUGUAUUUCACCUGUUCUACAACCUCUUCACAUUU
rnacentral:misc_RNA from 1 species